AACGGCCAUACCAUCAUGAAAGCAUCGGUUCUCAUCCGAUCACCGAAGUUAAGUAACAUCGGGCACGGUCUGUACUUGGGAGAGUGACCACUUGGGAACUCCGCGUGUCGUUG